AUCUAUGCACUUAUAUCUAAGAGGGAGUUAGUAAUUGCUCUAGUAAAUAUGGCUCUCUUUUUGCUUUCCGUUUUUGUCCUCCUUUAUUCUGUUAAGAUUUUGUUUUAUUGAAGAGUUUUGGAUUAAUUGGUAAAUGCACAGAUUACUCACUCUCUGUGUAGGAGAACUAACACGUUUCCCUCUUGCCAGCCACGUCUACCUCUUCUCUCUCUCUCUCUCUCUCUCUCUCUCUCUCUCUCUCUCUCUCGAAAAUGACAGUGAGAUCACAUUAUGGACAACGAUCAAUGUCUCAUGAUGACGAUCGAAGCUGUGUUGGACCAGAUCUAUGGGUUUAACUAUGCGUUCAACCAAUUUCAAAUGGGGUAUCAAAGAGCCACUACUUUCAAGCCAUUGUUCCUACAGUGAAGGCCAUCAUCUUCAACCAAAGCUCUUGUUUGGGGGUCAAUCUUCAAAGCUGAAACAUAGCUAGAAUAGCUGACAAUCUUAUUAUUUUUUAAAUGAUUUACAAAGAUUUUGAGCUUGUCAUUUCAUAUGGAUAAUUACUGGUUUCAUCAUUAUGGGAUUUUUUUGGCCUUUUUCAAGUAGUGAUUGAAGUGCUCACCUUCUCUCUCAUUGUUAUGGUCAAAAGGGCUACUUUUAAAUAGUAGCCUGAUUCCUUUUUAUAUUACAUUUAAAUCUAGGUUCAAGAUAGAUUCUUGUUUUUUUUUUUUUUUUUUUUUUUGUCCCCAAUAGAUCUGUUAGGAGGUGUUGGCAUCUAACACCUUGUAUCAAAAUACCUCUGUUGCUAGAAGUUCGAUAACUUUAUUUAAUUGUUCUUUUUCUAACAGUUAGAACAUAUGUUAGUUUGCAACACAUAGAUACCUAAAAGCAAAAAUAUCCCUUCUUUAGUAGAAGGAUAAUGAGAUUCUUCAUUACUCACUCACUUGUGAUGAUAAACUGUUAUUUUUUUUAGUCAUAGUUUCCAUUGUGUUCAACCUUUGAUAAAAGGUAUCUUUAGAAUCCUCCAGUAUAUCUUUGGGCUUUCUGCCUUGUGUUGAACUCCCUCAAAAAGCUGCUAAAAAGGGAAAAGGACCCAUCAUGUUUGCAUCUUAUCCAAUCUAAGACAUGUAGGGUGUGUUUGGUUUGUGUUUUGAGAUAAAUUUUUUAUAAGAAAAAUUGGAGAGAGAGUUUAGAAAUUUUUUUGGUUUA